AAUUAAAACAAUCCUCUCUCUCUCUCUCUCUCUCUCUCUCUCUCUCUCUCUCUCUCUCACAGAUAGUGAAGGAAAAUAUUCUGAAGUAAUCAGAAAGUCCAGUGCUAUUGAACUAUUAUUUACACUCUAUCCUCCUCAAGGUGCCAGAGUGAACGCUGGCACAAGACUGCGGUCCACGUGGCUGAGACCCUUGGUGGAUGGGGAAGAAGGCUAUAAGUACAUAGCACCCUUCCUACCUAGUCUCAGUGUGCUGGAGGCUUCCAAGGGUGUUGUAAGACUCCCUCAUCUGAUGAAUCAGUAUCAAGAAAAAAAGGGAAAGAAGAACGUCUUGACAGUAUUAGAUUAGAGAGCUAAUCUCUGUGAAGAUCUCCACACCGUUUCAUCUCUGUGCAGGUUUGUGAACUUUUGCAGGAGGCUUCCAGUAUCUAACCCCAUAGGGCUAUGAGGAAAUUUGAGUCAUCUGGAUCAGGGCUUUAAACUUUUCUUCACCACAGAUGCC
rnacentral:lncRNA from 1 species